AGAGUUUGAUCCUGGCUCAGGAUGAACGCUAGCGGCAGGCUUAACACAUGCAAGUCGAGGGGCAGCGAGGGUAGCAAUACCUGUCGGCGACCGGCGGAAGGGUGCGUAACGCGUGAGCAACAUUCCCGAGUCUGGAGGAUAACCGGUGGAAACGCCGCCUAAUACUCCAUAACAACAGAGAUGACAUCGUCUUUGUUUAAAAGAUACGUCGGACACGGAUUGGCUCGCGUGACAUUAGCUAGUUGGUGAGGUAACGGCCCACCAAGGCGACGAUGUCUAGGGGCUCUGAGAGGAAGGUCCCCCACAUUGGAACUGAGACACGGUCCAAACUCCUACGGGAGGCAGCAGUGAGGAAUAUUGGUCAAUGGACGGAAGUCUGAACCAGCCAUGCCGCGUGAAGGAAGACGGCCCUAUGGGUUGUAAACUUCUUUUGUGGUGGAGCAAUAAGGUCCACGCGUGGAUCGAUGAGAGUACAUCACGAAUAAGCAUCGGCUAACUCCGUGCCAGCAGCCGCGGUAAUACGGAGGAUGCAAGCGUUAUCCGGAUUUAUUGGGUUUAAAGGGUGCGUAGGCUGUGCAGCAAGUCAGAGGUGAAAGCCCGGGGCUCAACUCCGGAACUGCCUUUGAUACUGUUGUGCUGGAAUACAGAUGCCGUGGGAGGAAUGAGUAGUGUAGCGGUGAAAUGCAUAGAUAUUACUCAGAACACCGAUUGCGAAGGCAUCUCACGAAUCUGUCAUUGACGCUGAGGCACGAAAGCGUGGGGAUCAAACAGGAUUAGAUACCCUGGUAGUCCACGCUGUAAACGA
rnacentral:rRNA from 1 species